rnacentral:rRNA from 1 species
CCCCCGUUGAGAUUUCAUGGCCCGGUCGCGUGCGCGGCGCUGUGCCAGGGAUCCGUCGUUUCGACGGCGGCAAGUCGGGACUGCCGCAACCCCCCGUUGCCUUGCCCAGGUGUGUUAACUCGUCGCUCGGAGCGUUCUGUGUCUAGGAUGGGUGCACUCGCAAGAUUUGCGGGGCAGGGGCCCCGUCCGAUGACACGGCUCUCCCAUGCGUCGACUCCCACCUUUGCGAGGUGAUGGGGCGGGGACACACCAGAGCGUUCCUCGUCGCACCCAUUGGGUGCUCGGGGUUCGGGAUGUGUCAACACCCAACACACGGGUGCAUCGCGCACCUUAGAAAUCCAAAGAAUGAAGCGCGAUCCAGCGCCUUGCGCGCUCGGGUCGCCGAAAGACAAAAACAUAACAAAAUCACGACUCUCGGCAACGGAUAUCUCGGCUCUCGCCACGAUGAAGAAUGUAGCGAAAUGCGAUACUUAGUGUGAAUUGCAGAAUCCCGUGAAUCAUCAAGUCUUUGAACGCAAGUUGCGCCCGAGGCCUCGGCCAAGGGCACGUCUGCUUGGGCGUCGCACUACAAGAUUGCCCUCCCCAGCGAGGAGCGGAGAUGGCCGUCCGUGUCCCCAAGUGGCGCGGUCGGCUGAAAUGAGCACGAGGUCCGUCGAUCCGUCGCGACGAGCGGUGGCUCCCAAAAGGCCGGCGUUGGUUUGCGCUGAUCGAACGAUUCCUCGCGAGGAACUUUAUUCUGGGUCCAGCGGCCCGCCGCAGUGCGGGCAUGCUGCAUCUCUACCGCGUCCCCAAGUCAGGC